UCUUCUUAUUGCCAACCUUUUGAUGUUUUUCUGCAGGUAUGAACUUUGGAAACCAAAUCUCAGAGCUGUCAUGGAACAUGAUAUGAAUGAAGUUAGUGUUGGGAGGAAGACUAAAGCUGAAGUUCUUGAAACAUGUUUGCAGCAAAUGAAAGCUUGUUUCUUAGAUGCAAGAGUAAAAAAAUCAAAGCUCCUAGAAGCAAUGACAAUUUUCUUUGAAAGAUCUAAUAACACUGAUGAAGGUGAAAAUCAGACAGCUGGUGAAGUUGUCCGACGAUGCAAUCUCUGCAAUGAAUCAGAUAUGGCACUCAGGAAGA